AUUAGCCAGGCGUGGUGGCAGGCGCCUGUAGUCCCAGCUACUCGGGAGGCUGAGGCAGGAGAACGGCGUGGAUCUGGGAGGCGGAGCUUGCAGUGAGCCGAGAUCAGGCCACUGCACCCCAGCCUGGGUGACAGAGCGAGACUCUGUCUCAAAAAAGGAAAAAAAAAGAGAAGCUCCCUGACAUCAGAGGGUCUGUAGCAGCAUUAGGAAAACAAGCUUCUCUCACCCUCCUUUCUAUCCUCACUCAAGUUCUCCAUCUCUUCUGAGAAGAUUUCUGUCAGCUUUUCUUGAGAACAGUCUACCACGAAGGCCACACUUACUAUCACCUCAACAAAACAACAAAAAGUGAACUAUUUCACGUGUCAAAACCUACAUCAGUUCUUUGUAAGUUGAACCUGUCGCACAUAUAAUGAGCCCUGCAAGACUCCUGGGGUUGAUAAUUUGGAUGCCAUUGCAGUUCUUUCUCUACCUUAGCCUUUCAAAUUGCAAGCAAAGUAGAAGGAAGUUUUUGUUUGGCUUUGCUGCAAAAUAAUCCCAAAAUACCAUAACAUAAAACAACUUUUUUAUUGAAAAGGAAUUUAGAAUGUAUUUUGAAGUGAAUGAAAUUGAAAGUACGACAUAUUAAAAUUUGUGGAAUGCCACAUGGCAGUUCUAAGAGAGAAAUUUAUGGCAGUAAAGUGCUUUAUUAGAAAGGAAACAAAGGUCUAAGAAAGUUACCUUGGUUUCCAUCUUAAGAAACUAGAAACAAGAGCCAAUUAAACUCAAAGUAAGCAGAAGAAAUAAAGGUCUGUGCAGAAAGCAAUGAAAUAGCAAAGAAAAAUGGUAGAACAAAUCAAUAAAACAAAAAGCUAAUUCUCUGAGAAAUCAAAAAAUAUUUAUGAAACCUAUAGACAGACUGAGCAGGAAGAAGAAAGAAAUGUGAAUUAUUAAUCUCAGGAAUGAGAAAAGGAGAAAAGUGGCAUCACUACAGAUUUUACAGAUAUUAAAAUGAUGAUAAGAAAUCAGAAUAUUAAAAAUUAGUAAGGUAAGUAAUCCUGUAUGUUUGUGUGAGAAUGGAGACAAAAUAUCUCUUCUACACAGCAAAAUAAAUUGAUACUGCAUCUACUUUCUAGGGCAUAUAUACAACAGAAAACCUCAAACAGUUUUAUAAAGAGACAUAUACAAGGAUACUCAUCACAAAGUCAUAGUAAAGGGAAGCUGGAGGCAACCUAGGUGUUCAUCACAAGGGGAAUGGAUAAACAAAAUAUGGAGGAUGCAUGUAUUAGAAUACUAUGUAGUACUUGGGAGCAAGGAAGGUGAAAAGCAUAUACACAUUCACAAUCUGUGUGCACACUAAGCGACAUGUAUCACACACAUUAGAGUAGGUACCUAUGGGGGUGGAGAGAGGAAAAUGGGGAAUGGCAGUCAAGAGAUAAGGGAAGAAAGCAGAGAAGGGCUUUUACCUUGACCAAGGAUAAUAGCCUCUUAUGAACUAAGGAAUAUGAUUUACUAAACUCUGCACUGAUGUCUAGAAAGAGAGAGAAUCACAUGAACACUGUUACAUAACUCAUCACCCUUCACAACCACUGAGAUAUAAUAAAAUGGAAAAGAAAAACUUUAGGGAGUGAACUUGUAUACAGCACUGACAUUAUAUGACAUAGACAUUCAAAUGAAAAUUAGGACAAACUGAUUUUAUUAGGUAAUUAUUUAUUUCAGUUAGCCUGCCAAAUUCAGAAAAGUAAAAUCCUCAGCUGAAUUACACUGAUAUAAGUUAAUAAUUUCACAUUCUAAGGUCACAUGAAUAUUAGCAAGUUUUGCCAAAGUUAUUUAUUGCCAUAAAUAAUGAUACAUAAAUGGAGUUGAUAAACUGAGGUUUUCUCUCAAGAACUGUAUAGAAAAGCAAAUCUUUUCUCCAUCUUCUUGGGAAUAGAGGUAUAGUAUAUUUAAAUGGUUUUCUCCUUGUCUCUCUCUUGCUUCAGUUUUUCCAUCUGGAGAGACAGUUUAUGUAACUGUAGGGCCACUAUUGAGACCCUGCGACUUGGGAGACAGCGUAAGAGGGUUUUGCCUGCCGUGACUAUGUCACAGCCUUCAGAGACUUUCUGAGAGGAAAUCAAAAUGAAAGGAAAUGAAUGGAAAGAGGAAAUCAAAGCUUUUCAGGAAGGCUUGUGACAGGAGGAUUAGAAGGCAAUAAUCAGAAUCAGCACAAGCAAAGAGGAAGCUUAAGCUGCAGGGGCAUCCAGUUCUACUAAUUCACCAGAAAAACACAUCAGAUAAUAGAGAAAUACUGAGGCCCAGGGCCAAGACAACUGGUUAAUAAGACUCUGCUGACCUCCUGUAAAACAAACGCAAUAAACUUUGCUACCACCACAGAUUUAUCACAAUGUUUCAAGGUAGAAAGAACCAGUACCUGUAAACACCUUAUAAAUUAACCCUAACAACUGAGACCAUCCUUUAGGAGAUAUUACUACUUUUCCCAUUUUAUGAACCAUCCUAUUUUCCUAUCAUUUAUUUUGAGGUAUCAUAUAUAAAAUUCAUUGAAUGCAUAUUAUUCAUCCUCUUGCACUUGGACACAUCCAGACUCCAAGAUUUGUUCUCUGAGGAAAAGACACUCUGGGGGCCAAACAUCCAAUAGCCAGGGUCAUAUUGGGUGGUGACAGUUUCAAGGCUGGUAUACCGAUUCUUCUCCAUAGACAGCUUUGCAUUUAAUAUUUCUGGUUUUAGGUACAGAGCUGUAGUCAAAACACAUUACCUUAGCAUCUUAGGAAUCUCAGAAAAAACACAUUUGGACACUGAUAAUUGAUAAAAGGGAUAAGAAAUCUU